rnacentral:rRNA from 1 species
GUGGGGAAUUUUGGACAAUGGGCGCAAGCCUGAUCCAGCAAUGCCGCGUGCAGGAAGAAGGCCUUCGGGUUGUAAACUGCUUUUGUACGGAACGAAACGGUUCUGGUUAAUACCCGGGGCUAAUGACGGUACCGUAAGAAUAAGCACCGGCUAACUACAUGCCAGCAGCCGCGGUAAUACGUAGGGUGCAAGCGUUAAUCGGAAUUACUGGGCGUAAAGCGUGCGCAGGCGGUUGUGUAAGACAGGCGUGAAAUCCCCGGGCUCAACCUGGGAAUUGCGCUUGUGACUGCACGGCUGGAGUGCGGCAGAGGGGGAUGGAAUUCCGCGUGUAGCAGUGAAAUGCGUAGAUAUGCGGAGGAACACCGAUGGCGAAGGCAAUCCCCUGGGCCUGCACUGACGCUCAUGCACGAAAGCGUGGGGAGCAAACAGGAUUAGAUACCCUGGUAGUCC